rfam:Ovis aries breed Texel chromosome 3, whole genome shotgun sequence.
UUCCUGGUGGUCCAGAGGUUAGGAUUCUGCACUUUCACUGCUAGGGCCUAGGUUCAACCCUGGUCAAGGAA